UACGUAGGGGGCAAGCGUUGUCCGGAUUUAUUGGGCGUAAAGAGCGUGUAGGCGGCCAGGUAGGUCCGCUGUGAAAACUCGAGGCUCAACCUCGAGAUGUCGGCGGAAACCAUCUGGCUAGAGUCCGGAAGAGGAAAGUGGAAUUCCCGGUGUAGCGGUGAAAUGCGCAGAUAUCGGGAAGAACACCCGUGGCGAAGGCGGCUUUCUGGGACGGUACUGACGCUGAGACGCGAAGGCGUGGGGAGCGAACAGG
rnacentral:rRNA from 1 species